AACGAGGCCGACCUGCGGCUGAGUUACCUGCGGAGGGAUCAUUACAAGAAUCGGUGCUGACGCGCUCUCUCGGGCGCCGUCAGCCCGCUCUUUACCUUGCCUACUGCACUGUUUGUUGCUUCCUGGCGGCGGGACGCUGCCGCCAGGUACCUAAAAAAUCCCGUAUAAGCAUUGAGAAACUGAUACACCCAAAAUCGUACAACUUUCAACAACGGAUCU
rnacentral:misc_RNA from 1 species